rnacentral:tRNA from 1 species
CGGCGGUACCGACGGUGGCGGGGGCGGUCGCCGCCCGCCCGAAGAGGUAGUCCUGCGUUCCAUCGCCGUUCACGUCGUCGACCACCGA